rnacentral:misc_RNA from 1 species
GAUGAAGAACGCAGCGAAAUGCGAUAAGUAAUGUGAAUUGCAGAAUUCAGUGAAUCAUCGAAUCUUUGAACGCACAUUGCGCCCGCUAGUAUUCUGGCGGGCAUGCCUGUUCGAGCGUCAUUUCAACCAUCAAGCCCCAGGCUUGUGUUGGGGGCCUGCGGCUGCCGCAGCCCCUGAAAAGCAGUGGCGGGCUCGCUGUCAUUCCGAGCGCAGUAGUUACAUCUCGCUCCGGGCGUGGCGGUGGGCACCUGCCGUGAAACACUCCUUCUAAGGUUGACCUCGGAUCAGGUAGGAAUAUCCGCUGAACUUAAGCAUAUCAAUAAGCGGAGGA